rnacentral:rRNA from 1 species
UACGGAGGAUCCGAGCGUUAUCCGGAUUUAUUGGGUUUAAAGGGUGCGUAGGUGGCCUGUUAAGUCAGGGGUGAAAGACGGUAGCUCAACUAUCGCAGUGCCCUUGAUACUGAUGGGCUUGAAUGAACUAGAGGUAGGCGGAAUGUGACAAGUAGCGGUGAAAUGCAUAGAUAUGUCACAGAACACCAAUUGCGAAGGCAGCUUACUAUGGUUUUAUUGACACUGAGGCACGAAAGCGUGGGGAGCAAACAGG